GGUACCCAGGCUAUAUGAAUAAUGAUCUAAUUGGACUGAUUGCUUCCCUUAUUCCCACUCCAAGGCUUCAUUUUCUCAUGACUGGCUAUACUCCGCUUACGACAGAUCAAUCAGUGGCAAGUAUACGUAAAACUACAGUCCUGGAUGUCAUGCGAAGACUGUUGCAACCAAAGAAUGUGAUGGUGUCCACUGGCAGAGA